ACUCCUACGGGAGGCAGCAGCUAAGAAUCUUCUGCAAUGGACGAAAGUCUGACAGAGCGACGCCGCGUGGGUGAAGAAGGCCGGAAGGUUGUAAAGCCCUUUUCUAUCCGAGGAAUAAUCAUCGGAGGCAAUGCCGGUGAGAUGACGGUAGGGUAGGAAUAAGCCCCGGCCAAUUACGUGCCAGCAGCCGCGGUAACACGUAUGGGGCGAGCGUUGUUCGGAAUCAUUGGGCGUAAAGGGCGCGUAGGCGGAUAUGCAAGCUUGGUGUGAAAUCCCGCAGCUCAACUGCGGAGGCGCGCUGAGAACUGCGUAUCUAGAGUUCAAGAGGGGAAGCUGGAAUUCCUGGUGUAGGGGUGAAAUCUGUAGAGAUCAGGAAGAACAUCAGUGGCGAAGGCGAGCUUCUGGCUAUGAACUGACGCUGAGGCGCGAAAGCGUGGGGAGCGAACAGGAUUAGAAACCCCAGUAGUCC
rnacentral:rRNA from 1 species